rnacentral:rRNA from 1 species
UACGUAGGGGGCAAGCGUUGUUCGGAAUUACUGGGCGUAAAGGGCGCGUAGGCGGCAGGCCAAGUCGGGAGUGAAAGCCCGGGGCUCAACCCCGGAAUGUCUUUCGAAACUGGCCAGCUUGAGUGCGGAAGAGGCAACUGGAAUUCCCAGUGUAGCGGUGAAAUGCGUAGAUAUUGGGAAGAACACCUGAGGCGAAGGCGGGUUGCUGGGCCGACACUGACGCUGAAGCACGAAAGCGUGGGGAGCAAACAGG